AAUUGGUAUGAUCAUCAUUCAUCAGAUGCUAUUUGUCAAAUUCAUUCCAGCGAGCCAUUCAAUUUCAUUAAACAAAGAUUAAAUAUAAGGUGAAGUCUCAAGUCCGCCACUCGAAAGCAUACUCGUAAUCUUGGCUCAAAGCAGACAAAGCGUAUAGUUAAGGUAUUUACAAAUACAAGAAAUGGAUCUAAUGGUGAAUCAUUUGUCUUCACUGGUCUAAAGGACGACUGGACGAAAUUGGAACUCUCACUGACCUGAUUAAAUUACACAUAUGACAAGUGUGGAAUUAAAACAUGCAAUUUUUUAGGAUUUAAUACAAAUACCCAGUAGCUUAAAUCUGUAUCUAUUCUUCUUCUUCUUUUUCUUCUUCUUCUUCCUCUUUCAAUGUUAAAACUUAAGAUUAAGAAAGAGAGAUUGAUUACCUAAUUUUGCUUCUUCAAUCUUCUUCUUCCUCUUUCAAAAUAUUGUGAAUCGGAGUCCAGAGAUUGGAAUGAAGCUGAAGAAAUCGCAUCGUCGUUGCACACACAGGUUCGUUCGCACUUCACAGGGCUUGAGAAUCUGAAGAAGCCGGGAACUGGAAGUCUGGAACUGGAAGGGAACAUUUGGGAUUUUUUUAAUGUUACUUGGG
rnacentral:lncRNA from 1 species